rnacentral:rRNA from 1 species
UACAGAGGGUGCAAGCGUUAAUCGGAAUUACUGGGCGUAAAGCGUGCGUAGACGGUAGCGUAAGUCGGGUGUGAAAGCCCCGGGCUCAACCUGGGAAUUGCAUUCGAGACUGCUCUGCUAGGGUGCGGAAGAGGGAAGCGGAAUUUCCGGUGUAGCGGUGAAAUGCGUAGAUAUCAGGAGGAACACCUGCGGUGUAGACGGCUUACUGGACGGUAACUGACGCUGAGGCACGAAAGCGUGGGUAGCAAACAGG